GAGUUUGAUCCUGGCUCAGAUUGAACGCUGGCGGCAUGCCUUACACAUGCAAGUCGAACGGCAGCACGGGAGCUUGCUCCUGGUGGGCGAGUGGCGAACGGGUGAGUAAUGCACCGGAACGUAUCCUGGAGUGGGGGAUAACGUAGCGAAAGUUACGCUAAUACCGCAUAUUCUGUGAGCAGGAAAGCGGGGGACCUUCGGGCCUCGCGCUCUUGGAGCGGCCGAUGUCGGAUUAGCUAGUUGGUGAGGUAAAGGCUCACCAAGGCGACGAUCCGUAGCAGGUCUGAGAGGAUGAUCUGCCACACUGGAACUGAGACACGGUCCAGACUCCUACGGGAGGCAGCAGUGGGGAAUUUUGGACAAUGGGGGCAACCCUGAUCCAGCCAUGCCGCGUGAGUGAAGAAGGCC
rnacentral:rRNA from 1 species